GUGCUUGCCCCAGCAGCACAGACCAAAAUUGGAAGAUACAGAGAAGAUGAGUAUGACCUCCGCACAAGAAUGACCCACAGAUUUGUGACGCCUUCCAUGCUUAA